rnacentral:rRNA from 1 species
UACGUAGGUUGCAAGCGUUGUCCGGAUUUAUUGGGUUUAAAGGGUGCGUAGGCGGUCUAUUAAGUCAGCGGUGAAAUACUCCAGCUUAACUGGAGGGGUGCCAUUGAUACUGAUGGACUUGAGUCAAGUCGAGGUAGGCGGAAUUGACGGUGUAGCGGUGAAAUGCUUAGAUAUCGUCAAGAACACCAAUAGUGAAGACAGCUUACUGGGCUUAAACUGACGCUGAGGCACGAAAGUGUGGGGAGCAAACAGG